UACGUAGGGUGCAAGCGUUGUCCGGAAUUAUUGGGCGUAAAGAGCUCGUAGGCGGUUUGUCGCGUCUGCUGUGAAAACCCGAGGCUCAACCUCGGGCCUGCAGUGGGUACGGGCAGACUAGAGUGCGGUAGGGGAGAUUGGAAUUCCUGGUGUAGCGGUGAAAUGCGCAGAUAUCAGGAAGAACACCCGUGGCUAAGGCGGCUCUCUAGUACGGUACUGACGCUGAGACGCGAAAGCGUGGGGAGCGAACAGG
rnacentral:rRNA from 1 species